GCAGUACAAAUUUGGCCUUUAAUCCUAGAACAAGAGAAGAUUUGCUGAUGGAGUAUUUGAUUUCUCAAGUGUAAAUUGUGCUCUUAGUCAGAAAAAUAACUCAACUUUGGCUUUUGGCUUGUCAGUGCUGAUUUCUCAUUGUUACCCAGUUCCACAUACCUCUUUGCUGGAAUCAAGUACAGAAAACAUGGUGGGGGAAGAUUUCUGUUGCUUCAGUUCAGUUUUUUAUAGCUCUUGCACAAGUUCAUGGUUACUGUAUUAUAUUUCCAGCCUGGUCUGCUUCUUCUCAAGCAUAUUAACGUAGUUGUACCAAAGUUUUAACUCCAAAGAUAACUAAAAAAUAAGCCUCACUUACUUGCUCAGCAGAAAAUUCAGACUUCCUGAGGUUUCACACGUUGUCAGCUCUGAGCUUCAAUCCCAGCCACUGUGCUGAGGCAGUUGAAUGGAGGGUUGGGAGUCCUGAACUGCUGUCGAAUCGACAAACACAAGGUCACAGAGACAGACUCCUGCACUGGCUGUCUUACUGCCUCAAAUCCAUCUUUGCAGAAUCCUGAAAAUAUUAGAAACAAAGAGUUAUGUGAUGAGCCCAAUUACUGGAGGACUGCCUACCAAGUAUAAAUGGCUGUAACUGAAGUCUGAAAGCACUCAGCUGUUAUGGUGGGAUCUGUGUUAAACACACAAAAAAGAAAUCACUGCGAUCUCUCAAGACAGACUGAUUGAUAUCUUAGACUACCUGACAAAUAACACGUUGUCUCAAAGCAAGGCCUUUAAGAUCUUCUACUGAUAAUACUCAUGAUAAUUAAAGGCCAUGGCCACUGUGAUUAGCCUAGAUUCUUUCACACACAAAAAAAUAAAGCCAACUUCUGGCUUUUGGUCAGUUAGUACCUCAGUAAGCCAUAGUUCCAAAAGCCUUGUGUCAUGGUGGAAGCUGUCACCUCCCUCUAGGUGACAAUGAAGCACAGGCACAGUUCUACAUGACCUGAUUUGAUAUUACCAGGUGGUAACACACUAACAAAAUCCACAGGACAACUUGAUCUCACAGAUGCAUCUCUGCCUUGAUGGUAUAUAAAUUUAAAGUGAAGGGCAGCACUUCUUAAUUACUUACAUUGUUUAUUUUAAUGUAGCUUACAGCUUUCAUUUUUAAACCAGAAAUGGAAGGACAUAGUUUCUCUCAAGACAGCAGGUUUGUGUUUUUAAAAGAUUUUAAAUUAAUACAUGUAUUUACUCACUGUAGCAGAAAUGCUAAGUAAGUCACAGUCUGAACCAGUGACUGAGCACCCAGUGGGAAGGCAGGGCCAACACAGGGGAGCUCAGGUGCAUGCAAUGUACCUGAGUGAGCAGAAGGGGUGGAGCCAGGAUCCACCCCUUCCCAAACCUCAUUUAAGGGUUGGCAGUGGAGGUAGGGAUUUUUUGCUGGAGAUCCCUGCCUCCCAGAGGUCUUCUGAAGGUCUUCCUGAGAGAGUGGGCUCCAUUAUGUUCAGGAACAGAAUGAAAAUGAAACUCAUCAUUAGUCGGGUUGACUCAGUGUCUGAAUACACAUUGUACCAUGAGGAUCCUCUUACCCUGAGCCAAAGACUGUCAAAGUCAAUUCCAACAGCUGAUGAGGCCCUUCAGGAUAGGUCAGUUUUUUCCUUGAAAUCCCAUCAUGGCAACUUCUGCAUUUGAUGAGUAUUACCAGCACAGAUAGACGCACCAUGGAGGGAAUCCCAGCCACACAGAAAAAAUGUGUGCACAGUCAUCACUAUCUUUGGUUUCACCUCUGGAAGAGCACACACUCGGGAAGCAGUUCUUCUUGCCAUGGAUACAGCAUCCCCAUUUGCCAUGGAAAGAGGACUUUGUUGGCUUUUGGACUGGUACCCAAAACUGGCACAUUAGCUCUGCCCCUGCCCACCAUAAUUUCACCUAAUACCCUCUUUACUAAGAUUCAGUCUUCAAGAUGUGUAGCAGUCCUGUCACACCAGUUUUAUGCAUGCAUUUUGAUCUUUCCACAGCAGAGACAAGUGUCUUUAAUGUGUAAAUUCACCUUUGAAAUGUCAAGACCACUUUACCAACUGUUAAAAGUUGUAAUUAAUAUUUGUAAGGGCUAAUAGCUAGCAUGCAUAAUCGAGGACUUAUCAGCUAACAUUUACAUUCUUCCUUCUGUUUGCAUUUUUAGAAAUAACCAACUAAGACUAUUAUUGACCUGAAAACUGCCUGUCAUUCUGCUACUACAUAAUAGUCACAGAAUACACAUUUCAAAGCCACGGUUUAACAGAAAUACUUAAAACCUGACAACUUAUGAUGAUUCAACAAGAUGAGAAAAAGACAAGGGCUCAAUCUCCAAACCCUGAUCAGUGGGUGAGCAUUUCAUAAGCCUGAGCAAACAGGAGAGAUCAUUGCGAAGAAGUGCUUGAGUUGAUUUGCAUUGCUCUCAAUUAGGGAAGGUAGUCCAGCCAACCACUACUCCAGCAUUACUGACAAGGACAACAAUUUGAUUUCUAGAAGCACUACCUGACUGAAAGAUUCUGUGAUUAGGAACUGCCACUCCUUUUGGACACAAAAGGGGAAUCUUCACCUUGAAGUUCUGGGAUGCAGGUGGACUUGCUAGAUUCUUUCAGGGUCCAGUUCACUACAGUGUCAUCACUGACUUGCUGAGCAUCACCCAGGUCCUUGAAGACAUUCAGCAUGUACCUGAACAGUGGCAGAGAAAACAAGAUUUGGCUCAGAUCCUGGGCUAAGACCCAGCAAGCACACAGCCUGGAGGGAACAUGAACUCAUAGCAACACGCAAAGUCUUCAUGUAGUCUCAGCUCUGCUUUUUUUUUUUUUUUUUUUUUUUAAUUAUUUUAUUUUUCACCCCUUCAGCAAAAAGGAAGAGCCAUCUAUUGUAUCUGUAGUGCAAUUUCUGUUAAAUCAUUUAACCUCUAAUUCCUCUCACUUCGUUUCAUAUUCAGACAUUACUAGUGGACUGGAAAUUAUUCAGCCUGUAAAUACCAAGUUAAAAUAGAAAGAAUAACACUGCUUCUCCCUUGUUUGAGGGGAUUGCACUGGUUGUGCAAAUGCAGGGUGUGGAAAACACUGCCUAGUGGAUGAACUAGGGAGUAUUCUAGGUUACAUGACACUUAUUACUUUGCACAAGAAACUGGUAUUAGGCAGAGAGAAUGGCGUUGAAUCCUCUUGUUGAAGGAAAUAUUGGAUGACUUUAGCUUUGAAGAGCUUUCUUCCCUUGGCUGUAAGUGAGCGAACUAGAAAAAGCCACAGUAAAUCUUUCUAUUGCUGGGGAACAAAUGAGAAACUGUACUACAGAGAGUAUGGAAAAAGAAAAGCAAGCCCUUAUGACCUUAAGAACAUAAUAAAGAUGGUCAGGCCAGAGGAAGUCUGGGCAAAAACAAGGGACUGUGGAAGUUGCCUGUCAUGAUGACUAGUGGGAAGUAGAACAUGCACGAAGAAAAUGAGACAAUAGCUGGAAAUAUGUAGACACUGCUAAGACUAACCUUGAGCCACAUCCUUAUUUAGGGACUAACAACAAUUGAUGUUUAAUAUUCUAGUCCAAUGGCAAUGUUUUCCCUUAUCUUAGAGAAUCUGUUAUUCAUUUGUUUGAAUGCAUGUAAGCAUACAAACCUAAAGAUAGGAUUGGGUUUAGCCUCGAGGCUUCUUCACAAGUAUAUGUUCUCAACAGACAGCAAAUGCUAAAGCUAGAAUUGUUUCAGAGUCUGCUUUGACACUUUCCACAUGACUCUUCUAGCAUGUUCCAGUCAUCAAACAACAUAUACAACCUUCAGUCAUCUUCUAAGUGACCUAUUUAGGAGCAAUUUCAGCAUGAAUAUAAAUUCAGUGAAAAUGUAAAUAUGCAUUCAACAGUUGCUGGAUGAAAUGGUGGGUGGUGAGAAGAAAGGGAGUUUCCAUCUGUCUAGCCUUACAGGCACUACCUUCUCUCAGCAUUCAGAAGCACAGUGAGUUAAACUGCUGUAUGCUUGAGCUGGUGGGAUCACCAUCGUCUGCAAUAAAGUACCCAGCUUCCAACUGAAAAACAGAAGAGCAGACUCUCCUUGGCCAGAAGUCAAUGCUGAGAUCUCUGUGCGUACUUCUUCAGCAUGAUGGACAGAUAACAGGAUGAAGACUCCGCAAGAUCAUCAGUUCAACAGUCCCAGCUUGUGAUAAGGCAUGAGGCGUCUGUGCAGUCUCUUACUCAGCAUCUUUCAGUCUAAUGAAGGCUCACAUAAUGGCUGAGAGACAGUCCUCCCUCCUGCCAGGUCAGGAUUUCUGAGAUUCCUGGUACAGCCAAAGGUGGUGAACUGACAGAAAUGCUUUGGAUGCUCUUUACAGGUAUUCAGCACAACAGGAAUUUUCUGAUUUAAGCAAAAGGAAGAGUGGAUCUGCCUUACUGCAAAAGCUCUGCCAAUCAGCAUGGAAAAAGCAGAGUCCAGGAGUAAAUACUAUAAGAAAGCAUGUCGUGGCUUCAUGUACGCAAGACACUUCAGCAAUGCUAUAAUCUAUUGGAGGUGGGCAGGAAAGAGAAAAAUUGUUGUGUUUUUUUUUUCUAAGAUGUCUUCAGUAACUAGAAAUGUACCCUGGAAGGAGUCAUCCUGAUGGACAGUGUGAUGGCUCUUUUGUCACUUAUACUGCAGUUUCAAGUCUGGAAGCAACCGGCCAUCUCUGGUGUUCCUGCGUUCUCGGCUACUGACAGGAUUGGUCAUACAAAUGGCAACAGUACGUCAGAGCUUUGAAAUGGCUCAGUGGCAGCUGAGGCUAAGAAGCAAAACUGCUGUUAUUACUCCUAUGAGAAAGAAUGGAAGAUUGAUUUUAAUGACAACUUUGUCAGUGUUUAGCAAUGCUGUUUUUAAGCAGCUUAAAACAUAAUUUCCAAUUUCAACGACGUUCAGCCUUUCCUUUCCACAAAGGCUUAUAGUAGACCAGUGGUAUGCAACUGGCAUGAGCCAGAGCCAACAGAUGCCUGUAUUAAGGUGGUACCACCUGGGCUGAAGCCCAUGGAAAACUCAAAAUAUUCAUUUAAGAGUUUGCAGUGCUGUUUAUAACCAAACAUGGACAAGUAGUGUAAAUGAAUCUGUAGCGGUGACUCCAAUGGACAGCUGCAGAACUACAGAAAUGGAGCUGGGAGCACGAUGUAGCUCACAGAGCUAACAGAAUAGUAAAGAGAAAGAAAGAAGACAAAUGGUAAUUAAAAAAACUCUGGAGAAUGCUGAUAAACCUGAUUUGACACCACUAGUGUUUCAGGACUAAGGGUAUGAAACAGGACAAUACAAAAAAAUCCACCUUUGAAUACUCUUGCUUUACAACAAGAAAUACCAUUUGGUCUAUAGAUAAGAAGUAGGAAUAAAAAUCUGCCUUAAAACUGCUUGAGAGAAAGAAAAGAAUCGUUUGUUAUUUUAUACCAAUCUGUCUUUUGUGCUAAUGUCUUCAAUACCAGUGCUUAAUUCUCUGAACUCACAUUUGUUCUAAUGUGGUGUAGCAGAAAUGCUAAGUCACAGCCUGAACCUGUGAUUGAGCACCUGGUGG
ensembl:lncRNA